rnacentral:rRNA from 1 species
CAAUAGCGUAUAUUAAAGUUGUUGCAGUUAAAAAGCUCGUAGUUGGAUUUCUGGUGGGAGCGAUCGGUCUAGCGCUUAGCGCGAGUACUUGCAUCGUCUCCGGCCAUCCUUGGGGAGAGUCUGUCUGGCAUUAAGUUGUCGGGCAGAGGAUCCUCAUCGUUUACUGUGAAAAAAUUAGAGUGUUCAAAGCAGGCUUAUGCCGUUGAAUAUAUUAGCAUGGAAUAAUAAGAUAGGACUUUGGUACUAUUUUGUUGGUUUGCGCACCAAAGUAAUGAUUAAUAGGGACAGUUGGGGGUAUUCGUAUUCCGUUGUCAGAGGUGAAAUUCUUGGAUUUACGGAAGACGAACUACUGCGAAAGCAUUUACCAAGGAUGUUUUCAUUAA